CACGUAGGGCGCGAGCGUUGUCCGGAAUUAUUGGGCGUAAAGAGCUCGUAGGCGGUUUGUCGCGUCUGCUGUGAAAACCCGAGGCUCAACCUCGGGCCUGCAGUGGGUACGGGCAGACUAGAGUGCGGUAGGGGAGAUUGGAAUUCCUGGUGUAGCGGUGGAAUGCGCAGAUAUCAGGAGGAACACCGGUGGCGAAGGCGGGUCUCUGGGCCGUAACUGACGCUGAGGAGCGAAAGCAUGGGUAGCGAA
rnacentral:rRNA from 1 species